CUGGAGGGAGUGGAGGAAGGGAAGGAGGUUUGGUUGCAUGCGCGGUGGCCAGGGGAGGAGGGACUCACCUUGGGACUGGUGUUCUUCGGUGUCUGGCGGUGGCGGCGUGAGCAAGGUUCUGGAACGACCAGUGGUGGCUCGGACGACAACGACGAGGCAUCCGCAGAGGCCAGGCGGCAACACCACCACCACCACCACUGCCUCCACCACAGCAGCACCGACCGCGCGGCCCUUCAGUAGUGGCCGAGACGUCGGCGAGUGUGGACGGUUAGUGACGCGAUCGCCCUGUGACGACUCGACCCACUGACUCGCUCGCAUCGCGCACUGCCAGUCAUUCCCCUUGGGCUCACUCACGCCUCCUCUCCCGCGCGUCCUCAUGGCAGAAGUGACGCCUCGUUCUCGGGUCUGGCGGCGUAUGACCUGUGCCUCGAUCACUCUUUCAGGAUAAUUUCUUACCCCCGACGGGAACUCCUUCACUCCUUCCUUGGCGCCUCCUUCGGGGAAAAAGACUUGUCAAAAUCCGCGUAUUAAGUAUCGAGAGAGGCGACUUGCGGCGUGGGAGUCACCAUGGAGAGGCUGGCUGCUUCUCAACUGCCUCCGUGGUGAGUGUGGAAAGUGAGAGGCGACAAAAAAGGUGGAGAGAGAAGAAGGAAGCAAGGCGAUGGGUGGCAGUGAGGUAAGGUGUUGAUAUCUCACUCCCCACCGACCCCCAGCGCAGUACUCCCCACGUGGACACCCAAACCUCAACACCCCCGAACACUGAGCUGCCGUAAGGGACAUAACUGCUCUUCGGUGACAGGUGUGUGCAGGUGUGCUGGUGGUACAGUACCCAGGUGUCCCAGGUGUGUUUGUGCCAUUGUGCUUCAUGUGACGCUUUACAAAGGAGGAAGAAAAACACACUUUACACUGAACAGAAAGGACUAACUUAUGACCUUUCCCUUCGUCGUGUUCCAAAAACGGACAGUAAUUCCCGGUUUCACCUGCUGCGGGUGUCAAAACAAGAGACAAUCGACUUGAGCUUAAAUAUAGACUCGCCCCCACACAAGGUCAUAAUAUUCUCCCACUGAAAAUAAACUCUGAAUACAUUGACUGCUGGCGAACUUGCGCGUGCGUGACUCAGUGAUCUUUAGCACUUGCACUUGCCAGGAACUCAAGGGUCGCUCGUGCCUGACGGAGGAACAGAAACAAGGGAUCACUAAGCUGUGUUGACUUGAUCCACCUUCUACCGCCUCAUUUCUCCCGGCCUGCUUUCCUUCACUCCUCAAGUUUGGACUUAUGGCUGAGUGAGAGGCCGUGCAGGAAGCUACUCCCUCACCCUCACCCUCACCUCUUCCUUCUCUCUCCCUCCCUCACCCAAUCAUGAGAAGCCUGGCCUCCCUCCACUCGCUGCUCGCUCUCUCCGCUCUGGUCGUUGUCGUGACUGGAGCGGAGGUGGCGACGGACGACUCCACCGCACCUGAAGAUGACCCUGAUAGCGGCUGGUCUUCCUGGUCUGAUUGGUCUUUGUGUUCGAGGACUUGUGACGGAGGCGCCGCUGUGCAAACCCGCCGAUGUCUUCAUUACGCCGGCUGCCGAGGAGACUCCGUGAGGUACAAGUUAUGCAAUGUAGAGCCGUGCCCUGAAGGAAGCCGGGACUUUAGGGCCGUGCAGUGCUCUGAGUACGACGGGCUGCCCCACAACGGUGCCUCCUACGAGUGGGAGCCUGCGGAGGGGAACGACCCGUGUGCCCUGACCUGCCGCGCUAAGGGAGGAGGACCUGUAGUGACUCUGAACCCACGAGUGCAGGAUGGGACUCGCUGCACUCCGGGAUCCCUUGACCUGUGCAUUAAUGGAAGGUGUCAGAAAGUUGGCUGCGACCUCGUUUUGGGUUCACAGCGGGAGGUGGACAAGUGCGGCGUGUGCGGGGGCGACGGGAGCUCCUGCAACAAGCCUUCCUACAACUGGAACAAGCGUGCUAGUGGCUCCUGCUCGGCGUCCUGCGGUGGAGGCUAUCAGAUGCUGUCAGCGGUGUGUGAGGAGGAGAGCAGCGGCAGGCGGGUGUCAGAGGACCUGUGUGACCCCUCCUCCAGACCCGUGCCCGCCAUCCUCACCUGCAACCCACACGCCUGCCCUACCACGUGGCAGACGGGGGAGUGGGGCACCUGCUCAGUGUCCUGCGGCUCCGGCGGGUACCAGCUGCGUGAGGUGUUCUGUGCUGAGCCGAGGAACACGUCAGUAGUGCGCGUCGCCGACCACAACUGCGCCCCGCCCCGCCCACGCCACCGCCGCGGCUGUAACCCCCAUAAGUGCCCGAGAUGGUACGACGGCAUCUGGUCCGAGUGUUCGACAACGUGUGGUGACGGCGUGCAGACAAGAGUAGUCCUGUGCCGUGAUGCCGAGGGGCGCUCCUCCCAGCAGUGCGAGGACGCCCUACGCCCCACCAACACCCGCCCCUGCCGCAUCGGAGUAGCCUGUCCCCUGCCCUCUACACUGGCGCACCCCAGACACCAGCCCUACACACCCCCAUGGUGGCCGGAAGAGCAGGACGCCCUGGCCAGCGAGGAAGGGCCGGCGCCGCUCCUGCCUCGCCCACAGGCCUUCCUCGGAGGUCAGCAAGUGCCCUCAGAACCUACGUUCAUAAAUGGAAACUGGAGCUCUUGCAGCGUCACGUGCGGGGAGGGCGUCAGAACACGCUCCGUCACGUGCAAAAUCUUCCUGGAAUUCUCCCGUACCGUCGCUGAACUCCCGAAGAAACAGUGUCCCGGAGUGCGGCCGCCAGACACCCAGCGAUGCGUCAUGCCGCCCUGCCCAGACGCCAUGACCAGACAUGAAUCUCCUGACGGCGAGGUGAGCGACGCGGCACAUCACCGUCCUGUCAUCAAGCUGGAGGACGAAGACGAGGACAUGGACGAAAGUUCAAGCAGGGACAGGAGGAUCCAUGAGACGCCCUUCCUCCCACGCUUGGUCAAUGAAGACGAGGAGGAUAUGGAUGGAGCUCUGAAAACACCUAAGUCGAAGUCAUCAAAUCUAGAUACAGAAGUGCCACAAGCGCAAGCCUACAACGACCCACACCCGGGGCUGCACUCCUAUGAAGCCCCCGGUGAUACCAAGCCUCGUGGAGAUCCUGUUCUGCUCUACCCUGGCGAGUACACAUCCAUCGAUCUGUUUGACUCCUUGGAAGUCCCCCACGGCAGCAAGAGCUACUCGGCGACUCCUCAGCACAAGGAUAUGAAUUCAAUAGAGAUCGACGUGAGGAGGAGGAACGAGGAAUACCCAGGCUAUUACCACGUGACGGAUGAGGACGACGCCGGACCACACACCUACAAAUGGACUACCCUUGGCUUCGGUCUCUGCAGCGCUUCAUGUCUAGGCGGAGUACAAGAGUCAGUGGUUAAGUGUAUCAGAACUUCAGACAAAAAGAUCGUGCAGCCUCAGCUCUGUGACUCCCAGGUACGGCCAGAUGUCAUAACACGCACAUGCAACGACCAGCCUUGCCCUCCACGCUGGAACAUCUCUGAAUUCGGGCCGUGCAACAAGCCCUGCGGUGGAGGCAUACAGAGAAGGGACGUGAAGUGCAUUCAUGAAGUGACUCGAGGAGGAACUAACACUGUCGAGGUGCCAGACAGCUUGUGCCCACAGCCGCCCCACCGCGCCAUCCAGCACUGCAACUAUGUGGACUGCCUGCCAGAGUGGGUGGCCGGAAGCUGGUCCAACUGCUCUGCUUCAUGUGGUGGCGGCGUGAAGACCCGAACGCUUCAGUGUCAGCAGAUCAGGGCGCAGGGGCAGUCUGAGGAGCGGCCCGCAGAGGAGUGUCCCAGCGUGAAGCCGCGCAUCGUCAGGAAGUGCAAUCAGAGAGCCUGUCGCAUGGGGCGAGGAAACGCGAAAAAGGCAGUUAUCAAGUCACAGGAUUAUCAGGAUUUUGUUCAGAGCAAUCUGUCCAACAAGCUCACUCUGAAGGUUGGUGGCAAGGCGGCGGUGUUCAGGGGCGUCAAGCUGAAGGUGAAGUGCCCGGUCCGGAACUUCAACCGGUCCCUCAUCUCGUGGUGGCGUCACGGGCGGCGGGUGGGCAAGAGGGGUCCCAUCAGAACUACGCCGCGAGGGGUCCUCAAGAUCAGAGAAGUGCGCUUCCCCGACGCCGGAGUGUAUGUGUGCCAAGCCGGGGACUUGGAGGCCAACAUAACUCUUGUAGUCAAGCCAACAUCUCAAGCCAACGAGUCUUCAGGAGGCCAGUUUCCCUCCCACGGCAGGUCUCCCAACGAGGUUAGCCCUGGCAGGCAGUUUGUCAGGGGCUCUGCACACAGCUCUGCAGCAGAGUGGCCGGUGAGGAAGACCAAGUCUAACAAGGGAUCCCGAGGCAGGAGACGCAAGGGUCGGCGCCGGAACAAGGGCACCAAGGGUAAAGGACACAGAGGCUCCCAGGGACAGGGUAGCAUAGAGUCUGAGACAGCCCACCAGGAUGCCAUGCCCCCACACAGCCAACUGGAGCCAUUCAGAGAGGGACCAUUCAAGGCCUCCAGCAAAAACAUGCAUACUGUAGAGGUGAGCAGCAGUGAGGCAACUAACACAUAUGAUACCCCCUUGUGGCGCUCCACCACCAAGCAGGACUACGUGUAUGGCACCGUCAACCACGGCUGGCCUCUCACUGGCCGGCCACACCACAGCUCCACCGCCAAGGGCACCAGAGAGGAAAGGCCUCCUGUGUAUGGGACUGUCAAUCUCCACAGUAAUACUUCACGGAUCACCAGCGAGGAGAACCAAAUAGUGUAUGGCACGGUUCGGCACAACAUGCUGCCGGGAACGGAGCACUCUAGGAGAAGAAAAUGGGAUGAGGGGACACACAUCUUCGAGGGAAAUUCUAAUUAUCUUGAAAAGGACUCGGAUAUUUACCCUGACUACACAAGGCCAGAGUCAUCCGAGCACCACCCUCCCUCCUCCUCCUGGUCACGUCCCAGGCUGGGAUCUCAGUCCCACUUCAGCCAUGGUGACACCCAGAGCCCUGGUCACGACACAGACCGAAGACCCAAUCCUACCUCCGAUAGUACUCCCACUGUGCACUCCACCUCUACCACUUCCACUACCACCACCACCUCCACCACCCCGGACCACCACGGUCAUCAGCACCACAACCACCACAACCACCACCACCACCACAACAACCACCAUCUCCACCGCAUCCCCACUGGCACCCCUCAAAGGCGCCAUGAAGUCUCCCUUUCCCUGACCCCAGCACCCCCCAACACCAGCUCCGGAGGUUCCCGCACUGUUCCUCCCUUCCAGAAGCUUCUUUCCAACUUGGAGAGCUUCCUCCCGGCCUCCCUUCAGGGCACCAUCAGUUCCCGGGGUGCCAGACACAUGGACUCACCCAUGGACGAGUUCAACAACAGGAUGUCGUCUCACGGGUUUGUGCAGGAUGACAACACAACACGGGACCCACAUGGCAAAGGAGACAUUCUGGGCAAAGGAACAAGAGACUCACUGGAGUUUGAGUGGCAGAUGACUAAUUGGUCUGAGUGUUCUCAGACUUGUGGCUUCACCAGCAGCAGCAGUGGCUACCAGGUGAGGUCCAUCCAGUGCCUUGCCAGAGUGAAGAAUGUGACAUCACCAGUGGAUGGUGCUCUCUGUGUGGAUGCUGGCCUGGAGGCACCAGUCACCAUUCAGCGGUGUGGCUUUACAGAAUGCCCUCAGUGGCACUUUGGGGAGUGGUCAGAGUGUGAAUCUUCUCGCUGCUUCACUCUUCACUAUGCCUACCAGCGGCGGGAGGUGGUGUGUAAGCUUCACAAUGGUACCAUUGUUAGCAACCUGCAGUGUGACAACCGGACGCGGCCUCGGCACCGACAGGAGUGCUACAACUACCAGUGUUCAGGAGUGUGGCGUGUUGGUGACUGGUCAGAGUGCACCGCCCCGUGUGGAGGGCAGGGAUAUCGCACACGUCUUCUCCAGUGUGUGUGGAAUGGGACCAAGAAAGCUGCUGGGAAUGCCUGUAGAGAACUACCACGUCCUGAGGUGGUCCGCUGGUGCAAUGGUGACCCCUGCCCAGACCUCAGUAUGUAAUGUGAAGUGCUGGUCACCAAGUCAGGAACUCGGGCCAAGAGAGGUCGCCAGGUGAAGACGACAGCCAGGAAGUGAAGGGUUGUCGCGAUCGAAGCAAAUACUGCAACAUUGUGAAGAGGAUGAACAUGUGUCGCAUCCAGAGUUACCAACGGCAGUGUUGUCGGUCCUGUCCUCCCUAGCACACUCC
rnacentral:misc_RNA from 1 species